rnacentral:lncRNA from 1 species
AUGCCACAAAACCAUCUCUGCAACGCCCACGUGACCAUGGCUCAGAAUAUACUCACUGUUUCAGAGGCUGUCAGUAACCGUCCUCUUCCAGACCCGGCUGUGCAGGCGAGGAUGGCAGGCGUCUGGCAUGGCUAUUCCCAGACGCUCAUGGCUCUUCCUGCAGCUCCAUGGGUCGGGAUGGUGCUACUACAGACAAAGCGUGCUGAGUUGUGCAGGAGGCGACUCUUGGCUAUGGUGAAAAUGCAAAACUGGAGGCAGAGGCAGCAAGACUUUCAACAGUCUGAGGUGUUUGCAAAGUGGAUAAUUGUGCAUGACCAGAUAUCUAAAACCUGGGCAAGACUCCACGCCGCGUGGCGCUUAGCCCGUCGGCAGGAGGGAGCGCGGGAGAGCAGCCCUGGAGCCGCGGAUGCCCGCCCGCCAGGGCACCCUGGCACUGAACUCCCGUCGCCCARGCAGGGUUGCCACUUCCCAGCAUGCGGGUUGGUGCACGAUGGGCAGGAAGGGCCGCGUGCUCUUCUGCAGAGCCACAUUUCCACACAAAACAGCAGCGGCUGCCCCGAGGAGAAGCCGAGUCCUGCCAGAGUGUCUCCGAAUUUGCCAGCCCUUUGGCUGGUCUCUAGUCUGCGCCAUCCAGACCGGGCUCACGUACAUGGCUCUUCGCCAGGUCUCCAGCUGAUGUAUUUCUGAGCAUGUCCGGAAGCAGAGCGCGGCGCCCAGUGCCUCCCAGAAGCACACAGCUACAGAGCAGGGCUUCCUUUUUUUCCCCUUUUGUCUUUUAGGACAUCACUUUGGGCCGAGAUGCCCAGAGUUCCCUGAGAAAAGAUCAGCGUCCUUUCGUGAACUUGCCUUCAAGCCAACUGCCAUUAAGAAGACUCUUAAUUAACUUACCAGAGUUUGAAUUCACCUUAGCUAAAGACAUUCAAGAAGUCUCUUCCUCAAAAUUUCCAAUUUUAUUUUAAAUCAAAUGGGCAUCUUAGCAGAACAGGAAUUUAAUAAAUUUGCAUUAAUGAAAAACA